GAUGAACGCUGGCGGCGUGCCUAAUACAUGCAAGUCAAGCGAACAGACGAGGAGCUUGCUCCUCUGACGUUAGCGGCGGACGGGUGAGUAACACGUGGAUAACCUACCUAUAAGACUGGGAUAACUUCGGGAAACCGGAGCUAAUACCGGAUAAUAUAUUGAACCGCAUGGUUCAAUAGUGAAAGACGGUUUUGCUGUCACUUAUAGAUGGAUCCGCGCCGCAUUAGCUAGUUGGUAAGGUAACGGCUUACCAAGGCAACGAUGCGUAGCCGACCUGAGAGGGUGAUCGGCCACACUGGAACUGAGACACGGUCCAGACUCCUACGGGAGGCAGCAGUAGGGAAUCUUCCGCAAUGGGCGAAAGCCUGACGGAGCAACGCCGCGUGAGUGAUGAAGGUCUUCGGAUCGUAAAACUCUGUUAUUAGGGACGAACAAAUGUGUAAGUAACUAUGCACGUCUUGACGGUACCUAAUCAGAAAGCCACGGCUAACUACGUG
rnacentral:rRNA from 1 species